UGGCCUCAAAUCAGGUAGGACUACCCGCUGAACUUAAGCAUAUCAAUAAGCGGAGGAAAAGAAACUAACAAGGAUUCCCCUAGUAACGGCGAGUGAACCGGGAAGAGCUCAAAUUUGAAAUCUGGCUGUCUUCGAUAGUCCGAGUUGUAAUCUAUAGAAGCGUUUUCCGUGCUGAACUGUGUCUAAGUCCCUUGGAACAGGGUAUCAAAGAGGGUGAUAAUCCCGUACUUGACACAAUCAUCAGUGCUCUGUGAUACGUUCUCUACGAGUCGAGUUGUUUGGGAAUGCAGCUCAAAAUGGGUGGUAAAUUCCAUCUAAAGCUAAAUAUUGGCGAGAGACCGAUAGCGAACAAGUACCGUGAGGGAAAGAUGAAAAGCACUUUGGAAAGAGAGUUAAACAGUACGUGAAAUUGUUAAAAGGGAAACGAUUGAAGUCAGUCGUGUUUAUUGGACUCAGCUAGUUCUUCUAGUCUACUUCCUUUAAACGGGUCAACAUCAGUUUUGUCCGGUGGAUAAAGGUGUUAGGAAAGUAGCUUCUCUCGGGAAGUGUUAUAGCCUAGUAUCACAUACACUGGGGGAGACUGAGGACUGCAGCUCGCCUUUUGGCCGGGGUUCGCCCACGUUCGAGCUUAGGAUGUUGACAUAAUGGCUUUAAACGACCCGUCUUGAAACACG
rnacentral:rRNA from 1 species